rnacentral:rRNA from 1 species
UACGUAGGGGGCAAGCGUUGUCCGGAAUUAUUGGGCGUAAAGAGCUCGUAGGCGGUUCGUCGCGUCGGCUGUGAAAACCCGGAGCUCAACUCCGGGCCUGCAGUCGAUAAGGGCGGACUUGAGUGUUGCAGGGGAGACUGGAAUUCCUGGUGUAGCGGUGAAAUGCGCAGAUAUCAGGAGGAACACCGGUGGCGAAGGCGGGUCUCUGGGCAACUACUGACGCUGAGGAGCGAAAGCGUGGGGAGCGAACAGG